GGUUUUUCGAGUCACAUUGUGUCUGGCGAGGUCGACACUUCCCUUUUCCUCCUGUCUGACUGCGUCCCCUGUGGAGGACAUCGUGACAGCCCUCUGAUUGUUGCUCAUCAGCAGCUCGUCUGCACGCCGCCUUCGUCAAAGCGCCGAGGCGAGGUUGGAGGAGGGAGUCCACGGCCGAGAGGAGCAGAGAUGCGAGAGGCGACCUGCCUGUGACCUCUCAGGUCUCUUUCAGCUCAUCUACUCUUCUCAGAGAGGAACCUUCCUAAAUUCUAUUCAGCUGGAGGGUGAAGACGCGAGCGGGUGAACUAAAUGCUGCAGCGUCACGUCACCUUCUGUCAGGAAAUGGCCGGUUUACGUGGCUUGAAGGACACGUGGUGGUAAGAAUAACUCACGUAGGGUAGCUGGCUGGCAGGAAUGUCCACAUGUUUCCAGGGUUCGAGCUCCGCUCCCCCCGGCUGUGUUUUGUGUGGAACCGGAUGUUCAGCUGAGGGGCAGCAGCUGACUCGAGUAGAGACUUAGCGCUGAUUGAUUGCACGUGUGUGUGUGUGUGUGUGUGUGUGACAGAGAACCACAGGGGAUCUAUUUGUUUUGGACAUGAGCGCUUCUCUCGAUGAACA
ensembl:lncRNA